rnacentral:rRNA from 1 species
GUUGGAUUGAGAACAACGUACAACUCUUAUCGAUAAGCCAUUGGAGGGCAAGUCUGGUGCCAGCAGCCGCGGUAAUUCCAGCUCCAAUAGCGUAUAUUAACGUUGUUGCAGUUAAAAAGCUCGUAGUUGAAGUGAGGGAGUGUGUGGGUAUGAGAGCUAGUCUCAAGUACUUACAACCUCCCCCCUCCAAUCGGUGUAGUGGGGUAUUCAGUUAUUCUACUACUCCUUUGGUCGUUUACUGUGAGAAAAUUAGAGUGUUCAAAGCGGGCGUUUGUUUGAAUAGAUUAGCAUGGAAUAAUGAUUGAAGGCUUUCGUGUUCGAUUUGAUUGGUUUGUUCAUGGAAGCAAGGUUAAAAGGAACAGUUGGGGGUAUUCAUAUUCACUAGUUAGAGGUGAAAUUCUCGGAUUUAUGGAAGAUGAACAAGUGCGAAAGCAA